rnacentral:misc_RNA from 1 species
GAUGAAGAACGUAGCGAAAUGCGAUACGUAAUGAGAAUUGCAAAUUCAGUGAAUCAUCGAGUCUUUGAACGCACAUUGCGCCCCCUGGUAUUCCGGGGGGCAUGCCUGUCCGAGCGUCAUUGCUGCCCUCAAGCACGGCUUGUGUGUUGGGCCCCGUCCUCCGAUCCCGGGGGACGGGCCCGAAAGGCAGCGGCGGCACCGCGUCCGGUCCUCGAGCGUAUGGGGCUUUGUCACCCGCUCUGUAGGCCCGGCCGGCGCUUGCCGAUCAACCCAAAUUUUUAUCCAGGUUGACCUCGGAUCAGGUAGGGAUACCCGCUGAACUUAAGCAUAUCAAUAAGCGGAGGA